GACGAACGCUGGCGGCGUGCUUAACACAUGCAAGUCGAACGGAAAGGCCCUGCUUUUGUGGGGUGCUCGAGUGGCGAACGGGUGAGUAACACGUGAGUAACCUGCCCUUGACUUUGGGAUAACUUCAGGAAACUGGGGCUAAUACCGGAUAGGAGCUCCUGCUGCAUGGUGGGGGUUGGAAAGUUUCGGCGGUUGGGGAUGGACUCGCGGCUUAUCAGCUUGUUGGUGGGGUAGUGGCUUACCAAGGCUUUGACGGGUAGCCGGCCUGAGAGGGUGACCGGCCACAUUGGGACUGAGAUACGGCCCAGACUCCUACGGGAGGCAGCAGUGGGGAAUAUUGCACAAUGGGCGGAAGCCUGAUGCAGCAACGCCGCGUGCGGGAUGACGGCCUUCGGGUUGUAAACCGCUUUCGCCUGUGACGAAGCGUGAGUGACGGUAAUGGGUAAAGAAGCACCGGCUAACUACGUGCCAGCAGCCGCGGUGAUACGUAGGGUGCGAGCGUUGUCCGGAUUUAUUGGGCGUAAAGGGCUCGUAGGUGGUUGAUCGCGUCGGAAGUGUAAUCUUGGGGCUUAACCCUGAGCGUGCUUUCGAUACGGGUUGACUUGAGGAAGGUAGGGGAGAAUGGAAUUCCUGGUGGAGCGGUGGAAUGCGCAGAUAUCAGGAGGAACACCAGUGGCGAAGGCGGUUCUCUGGGCCUUUCCUGACGCUGAGGAGCGAAAGCGUGGGGAGCGAACAGGCUUAGAUACCCUGGUAGUCCACGCUGUAAACGGUGGGUACUAGGUGUGGGGUCCAUUCCACGGGUUCCGUGCCGUAGCUAACGCUUUAAGUACCCCGCCUGGGGAGUACGGCCGCAAGGCUAAAACUCAAAGGAAUUGACGGGGCCCCGCACAAGCGGCGGAGCAUGCGGAUUAAUUCGAUGCAACGCGUAGAACCUUACCUGGGUUUGACAUGGAUCGGGAGUGCUCAGAGAUGGGUGUGCCUCUUUUGGGGUCGGUUCACAGGUGGUGCAUGCCUGUCGUCAGCUCGUGUCGUGAGAUGUUGGGUUAAGUCCCGCAACGAGCGCAACCCUUGUUCACUGUUGCCAGCACGUUAUGGUGGGGACUCAGUGGAGACCGCCGGGGUCAACUCGGAGGAAGGUGGGGAUGACGUCAAGUCAUCAUGCCCCUUAUGUCCAGGGCUUCACGCAUGCUACAAUGGCUGGUACAGAGAGUGGCGAGCCUGUGAGGGUGAGCGGAUCUCGGAAAGCCGGUCUCAGUUCGGAUUGGGGUCUGCAACUCGACCUCAUGAAGUCGGAGUCGCUAGUAAUCGCAGAUCAGCAACGCUGCGGUGAAAACGUUCCCGGG
rnacentral:rRNA from 1 species